CGAAAACUUGUGAUUAUAUUUUUUUUAGUUUAGAACAGAAUUGUUAAGAGGAUCUUUUAAUUAAAAAAAUCUUAAGAAUGGAAAAUAUAGAUCGGCCAAGUUGAUAUCUGAUUGAGAAGGUAUAAUAACAUUUUAUAUCUAGGGAUUAAUUUUCUAGAUAUUUUUAAAGAUUAAAAAUUUUAUAGUUUUUCGUUUAAGAUGAGAAGUGUCUAGAAAUAAAAAGUGUUAUAACUUUAUUAUAAAAAUUGUUUAUAUCUUAUAUUUUACUUUUUUUACUAAAUUUUUUAUUAUAAUGAUAGAAUAAGUAUAUUUUUAAGCCAGGACAACUCAAUAUUUUUCCAACUGUUUAUCAAAAACAUUUCCUUUAGAAAAUAAAUAAAGGUAAUACCUGCUCAAUGUUAUUAAUAAAUAGCUGCGGUAUCUUAACUGCACUAAGGUAGCAUAAUUAAUUGUCUUUUAAAUGGUGACUUGUUUGAAUGGUUUUAUGAGAAAAAGAUUAUUUUUGGUUUAUAGAGAAUUUAUAUUUUAAGGUUAAAAUACCUAAAUUUAAAAGAAAGACGAGAAGACCCUGUUGAGUUUUACAGUUAAUUUACUGUUAAAAUGGGAAAUUUAGUUUCGUUCUGAAACUUAAUUGAUCCUAAAUUUUUUAUUUGGAAAUAGGAUAAAAUUACCACAGGGAUAACAGGACUAUAUUUUCUGAGAGUUCAUAUUGAAGAAAAUGUUUGUUACCUCGAUGUUGAAUCGAAAUUACUCUUUAGUGCAGCCGCUAAUGAAGUGGGUCUGUUCGACCUUUAAAAUUUCACG
rnacentral:rRNA from 1 species